AGGGCACCACCAGGAGUGGAGCCUGCGGCUUAAUUUGACUCAACACGGGAAAACUCACCCGGCCCGGACACUGUAAGGAUUGACAGACUGAGAGCUCUUUCUUAAUUCGGUGGGUGGUGGUGCAUGGCCGUUCUUAGUUGGUGGAGCGAUUUGUCUGGUUAAUUCCGAUAACGAACGAGACUCUGGCCUAUUAAAUAGACGGUGUAUCUUGAAUGAUCCCGCGCUUCUUCCAGGGGCAUGUGCCGCCUACGCCCAGGAAAUACAGAAUAAUCAAGCUUGUGAUCCCCCUUUAUGUCCGGGGAUCUCCCCGCGCGCCACACUGAAAAUACCAGUGCGCGUUUUCUGGUGCGCAAGAAUGCGUGAGAUGGCUGAAAUUCUUCCGUGCUGCGGGGAGGGAGAAGUUGUUAUUAUUCUCCAAAAACGAGUUCCUGCCAGGAGCUGGUCAUAACCUCCCGUUGAUGACUUCCCUGCUCUUUGUAGACACCACCGGUCGCUGCUACUACUUGAAGGACUUAUUGA
rnacentral:rRNA from 1 species